CUUUCUCCCAGGUCCUAGCAAGUCAUCAAAACAGCGGGUGCCGCAUGGACGCCCUGUGCUGCCCUUCACGGUGUGCCAGGCCCAACCACCCACCCUGGGAGGCAGGUUAUGUUAUCCUCCCAUUUGACAGAUGAGGAAAGGAAGACCGAGAGAGAGAAAGUCACUUGUCCGAGGUCCCCAGUGGGAAGUGGGUAAAACGGGAUACCCACACCCAGGUCUGCCUGGGCCCCAGCCUCUUGGCUGGCCAGUGAACACUUCCAAGAACCUUCAUACUUAAUACCUCUAUCACUCCUCCACUCAACAGAAGGUUGGAACAGCAUUCUACAGCAUUCCAGGAUGUGGAGGGGGCAGCAGUGUUUGUGUGCAGAGUGGCGAGGCCGACCUCCGAUGAGCUUCCCGUAGGAAGGGUGCAGUGGGGGGUGCUCACCCUGCCCAGGGAUGCUAUCUGCUCCAGGACUUGUUUAUCAGCCCACGGGGUGAUCGGCAUGACAUCAAUGGAUAUGCCAGGCUGCAGGCUACAGUGCCGAGAAGGAGAAGACGGAGGCGGUGGUGAUGUCACCCAAGGAAUUAAGUAAGCAGGGGAGCUGAUAACAUCGUCCAGCCAGGCUCACUGUGGGCAGGGUGACUCACUGAAGACGGCCUGCGAUCGCCAGGUGAUUGUUGUUGUGCCCAGCCUGUGGGGCUGGGGAGGAGGAAGGGGGGCAGGCCACAGAGCUGUGACAAGUUCCUCACCGAGGCCCCUGCUCAGGGGAGAGACCUCAGUACACAGUGUCCUCCACCUCUGAGCCCGGGGCUGGCUCAGGAAACAGCCCCCCUCUGCCUGUGCGAUUAUCUUUGUCCACAGUGUUUGGUGUGUGUUUGUGGGGUGUGUCAGGUGAUUUUCCUGCCCGAAGCCUGCUGGGUGCUCCAGGUACUAGCGAUUGCUCACAGCAGAGCAGUAGCCCCCUCCCUGGUUGGACAACUGUCUGUGGAGACAACACCGGAUGGCAAACUGCUAACCGCAACCACGUGGCGUCCUUACAGAGGGAACAGCCUGUUCCUCCCGCUGAGGGCACCUGCAGACCUGCCCCAUUCAUGGCUCCCUUCUCCCUCAGUCCCUGCUGAGGGGAUGGUCCCUUCCCACCCUUAAGGGCACCAUGGACUGUUGUCCAAGUUGAGAACUGUCCAACUGCAGGGGGCACCAUUCACUUGGCAGUCUUCGUGCCAGAUGCUAUGGCUGUCCACAGUGGCCCUGCCCCUUCCCUUUUGUAAAUUACUUCUCAGUUCCCUCCUCCACCAGAAUUAUCACACCAAACUUUCCCCCAUGUAUGCUUGCUUCUUUAUCACCUGACACUCUCAUUCAUUCAUUCCACAAAAAAAUUGUGGCGUUUGUGCAAGGUACUAUUCUAGGCAAGGGAACAAGACAGACCCUCCUGGAGCUCAUGGAGUUCAUAUUCUAGCAUGGGGGAGAACCAAUAAAUAAAUAAUUGGAUAC
rnacentral:lncRNA from 1 species